GGCUUCGGCUACCACUUACAGAUGGACCCGCGGCGCAUUAGCUAGUUGGUGAGGUAACGGCUCACCAAGGCAACGAUGCGUAGCCGACCUGAGAGGGUGAUCGGCCACACUGGGACUGAGACACGGCCCAGACUCCUACGGGAGGCAGCAGUAGGGAAUCUUCCGCAAUGGACGAAAGUCUGACGGAGCAACGCCGCGUGAGUGAUGAAGGUUUUCGGAUCGUAAAGCUCUGUUGUUAGGGAAGAACAAGUACCGUUCGAAUAGGGCGGUACCUUGACGGUACCUAACCAGAAAGCCACGGCUAACUACGUGCCAGCAGCCGCGGUAAUACGUAGGUGGCAAGCGUUGUCCGGAAUUAUUGGGCGUAAAGGGCUCGCAGGCGGUUUCUUAAGUCUGAUGUGAAAGCCCCCGGCUCAACCGGGGAGGGUCAUUGGAAACUGGGGAACUUGAGUGCAGAAGAGGAGAGUGGAAUUCCACGUGUAGCGGUGAAAUGCGUAGAGAUGUGGAGGAACACCAGUGGCGAAGGCGACUCUCUGGUCUGUAACUGACG
rnacentral:rRNA from 1 species